AUUGAACGCUGGCGGCAUGCCUUACACAUGCAAGUCGAACGGCAGCACGGGUGCUUGCACCUGGUGGCGAGUGGCGAACGGGUGCGUAAUACAUCGGAACAUGUCCUGUAGUGGGGGAUAGCCCGGCGAAAGCCGGAUUAAUACCGCAUACGAUCUACGGCUGAAAGCGGGGGCCCUUCGGGCCUCGCGCUAUAGGGUUGGCCGAUGGCUGAUUAGCUAGUUGGUGGGGUAAAGGCCUACCAAGGCGACGAUCAGUAGCUGGUCUGAGAGGACGACCAGCCACACUGGGACUGAGACACGGCCCAGACUCCUACGGGGGGCAGCAGUGGGGAAUUUUGGACAAUGGGCGAAAGCCUGAUCCAGCAAUGCCGCGUGUGUGAAGAAGGCCUUCGGGUUGUAAAGCACUUUUGUCCGGAAAGAAAUCCUUGGCCCUAAUACGGUCGGGGGAUGACGGUACCGGAAGAAUAAGCACCGGCUAACUACGUG
rnacentral:rRNA from 1 species